CCUACGGGUGGCAGCAGUGGGGAAUAUUGGACAAUGGGGGAAACCCUGAUCCAGCGACGCCGCGUGAGUGAAGAAGUAUUUCGGUACGUAAAGCUCUAUCAGCAGGAAAGAAAAUGACGGUACCUGACUAAGAAGCCCCGGCUAACUACGUGCCAGCAGCCGCGGUAAUACGGAGGGGGCAAGCGUUAUCCGGAUUUACUGGGUGUAAAGGGAGCGUAGACGGCCGUGCAAGUCUGGGGUGAAAGGCGGGGGCUCAACCCCCGGACUGCUCUGGAAACUGUACGGCUGGAGGGCAGGAGAGGUAAGUGGACUUCCUAGUGUAGCGGUGACAUGCGUAGAUAUUAGGCGGAACACCAGUGGCGAAGGCGGCUUACUGGACUGUAACUGACGUUGCGGCUCGAAAGCGUGGGGAGCAAACAGGAUUAGAUACCCUAGUAGUC
rnacentral:rRNA from 1 species